UGAGGAAUAUUGGUCAAUGGACGCAAGUCUGAACCAGCCAUGCCGCGUGAAGGAUGAAGGCCUUCUGGGUUGUAAACUUCUUUUAUGAGGGAAGAAAACUAUGGUUUCUACUAUAGCCGACGGUACCUUAGGAAUAAGCACCGGCUAACUCCGUGCCAGCAACCGCGGUAAUACGGAGGGUGCAAGCGUUAUCCGGAUUUACUGGGUUUAAAGGGUGUGUAGGCGGGCGCAUAAGUCAGCGGUGAAAGCUUUGGGCUCAACCCAAAAAUUAUUUUUCAAACUACAAAACUAGAGAUUAGGAGAGGUAACCGGAACUUAUGGUGUAGGGGUGAAAUCCGUUGAUAUCAUAAGGAACGCCGAAAGCGAAAGCAGGUUACUAGCCUAAUUCUGACGCUGAGACGCGAAAGCGUGGGUAGCGAACCGG
rnacentral:rRNA from 1 species